UAAUUUAACGUGUGUGAUUCAUCUGCCUACCCAGGGAGCAGUUGCUCUGCAUGCGACCGUCGGUGGAGCAGCGCAGCAUGGAGCCGAUGACACGGCCGCCCACCAGCACCACCCGCACGUCACGGCCAUGCGACUCCUUGACGUACUCCUGGAACAGGCUGCUUAAAAUGUCUAUCUAUCCAUCUAAGGACACUUCAGGGAAGGACAUGCAAGGGAUCGAACCGACAACCUUGCGAUCAGUGGACAACCCGCUCUAGUAUGAAACAUCCUCUGAGCACGACGCACUGCAACGCCGGAGAGCCAACAGGAUCAAACCGGGAAGAGCCGGUGCUGCCGCCCAAUCAGCGCAAAGUGGGCGGAAGGCGUCGCAGCAGACACAUUCCUCUUUACGCACAGCAGCCCAGCCUCCCUCAUUUGUCAUGUUAACAACACAGAACCAGCACAGUUUGAUUUGAAAAUGAGAAUAAACUGCUUCAACCCUG